AAUGACCACUCCCUUAUAUGCAGUUUUUGUAUCCUUUCUAAUGCUGCAAGUUAUUGUUUCUAUAAAUGAACCUGAAAUUUCACGUUUUUAACAAUAUGGGUGUUUAAUAGGAAAAUCGAAGAAAAACGUGUUGGCAGGAAUCCACAAGACAUUUGAACGAUGCCAACAUACAGAAAUGUACUUACAAUAAUAGCCUUAAAAAUACAAGAUGAAGGCAAAAUAGAAUACACGCUUCCGGAAAGUACGUCACUUUGGCUAUAGAGCCUCGUUUUCGUGAUUGAGACGUGAGCUUCAACUGGUGUCAGAUACACGAAAACGAGGCUCUAUGGCCAAAGUGACGUACUUUCCGGAAGGGUGUAUUGUCCCCUGAU